GAGGAAGAAAAUUGUUGGUAGCCUGUGUCUUAUGAUUGAUCCGAUAUUUGCUGUAAGGGUUAAGUUAGUAUUGUAUUGAAAACCUUAGAUGAGUGAUUGAGUGCGUAUUAGUUGAUAUUGAAACUUGUUUUGAUGUGCAGAGUGGUGUUUUGGGAGACGAUCCGGCAACGGAGUUGCGGUAGACCUGUAAUGAUUUGAAAGGGGUGCGUGCUGAUAGACUAUUUGUGGUGUUUAUUCCAGUUUUACAGGGAAGUCAUUGGUGGUGUCUUGCCAUUUCUGUGAACACAGAGGAAAUUUGGGUGAUGGAUUCACAAUGCAGCAGACCGCUUGAGGCGCAUUGUGAAGCUAUCGAAAAACUGGUAAGUAAUAAAGUUGAUAAUGGUGUAAUUUAUUGGUAAUGAAAUGUUAAGAUAAUGUGUGGAACUCUGUUAGGUAAUGGGAGGUGACAAAUUUUUUUCGUCAUUUGAUGUAAGUUGGUUAAGCGGUGAGCUAUGCAGGUGGCCCUGAAAGGCUGUGAAUAUGGCCUCUUCUCAUACGGAUGGGUAAGUAAUUGGGAUGUUUUCCCGUAACCCUGUCCUGUCCCUACAGAAGUGAAGUGGUGCAUUAACAUGAAAUGCUUAUGGUUGUAACAGAAGUGGGAUUCAUAUGUUGCUUGCUAUAAAGGGAUGUGCAGCUCGUUUGAAGUUUGACUAUUGCAUUGGUGGUGGGAACAUAAAGGAGGAGAGUACUUGGCUGCUAACAGAAGAUGUAUUGUGCGAUGAGAACGAGGUGAAGGAGAGUGUUAAGGGUAUGCUUGACAGGGUUUGAAAGAAGUAAAUUUUGGUAUAGGCCAUAAUUUUAUGUUGGGCCAGGAUUUUGUAUAAUUUUGUAUAGGGCAUAUGGCCGUAUGGCCCAUAGUUUUGUAUAUGUCCAGCCAUAGUUUGGUAUAUAUGUCGACCAUAUGGGCAUUGUAUGGCCCAUAGUUUUCUUAAGGGCCAUAUUGUAGAAUGAUAAUUAUUAAGGCUAUUAUAUUGGAAAAUUAACAGAAGGUUGAAAUGCAAAUAGUAAGGAACCUUGAAUAUUGAAAUGCAAAUAGUAAGGAUAUUACAUCCGAUUACAUACUAAGGACAUUACAUCCGAUUACAUACUAAGGGACGUUACACCCAAAUAACACAAAAGCUUAAUAAAAGCCCAGCAGUGGAUUACACCCAGUAGUGGGAGUAGUUGGGCCAGUAGUGAAGAAUUUGGGCCAGUAGUGGAGAAGUUUAGGAU